UACGAAGGGGGCUAGCGUUGCUCGGAAUCACUGGGCGUAAAGGGUGCGUAGGCGGGUCUUUAAGUCAGGGGUGAAAUCCUGGAGCUCAACUCCAGAACUGCCUUUGAUACUGAAGAUCUUGAGUUCGGGAGAGGUGAGUGGAACUGCGAAGUGUAGAGGUGAAAUUCGUAGAUAUUCGCAAGAACACCAGUGGCGAAGGCGGCUCACUGGCCCGAUACUGACGCUGAGGCACGAAAGCGUGGGGAGCAAACAGG
rnacentral:rRNA from 1 species